AAUAAGAGAGAAGGGAAAAAAAAAUUAGCAAAACCCUAACUCUAAUUAGUCAGCCGUUUUUUUUUCCUCCCCAAGAUUUUCUAUCUCCUCCUUUUUUUCUUCUCACCUGCGUUCUUCCCUUCUCCUCUUCUCUACUUUCCUUUCUUCUUCCCUCGCAUCUGAAGACCUCCCUUCAUCGACGUGCGGGAAGUGACGAAGGUCGCCGGUGGCGCAGAAGUCGUUGAAGGUCGCAUGCGCGGGGCUAGAGCUGCUCGCGUCUGGUGGUCUGAUCGUAGGGGGUUCGAGUUUUCGAGUGUCGAUGGUUUGUGCGAGCGGUGUCACGCAGAGGAUGGAGUUUGUGGCGAGGGUUCGUGGUGCGAGUAGUGUCGCGGAGGUCAGAUAGAGGUAGUUCGAGCGUGCGUGGGGUUACGCGCAACGUUUGUAGCUCGGUUCGCCGAGUAGCAGGCGAGCACAUGAGUGUCACGUAGUCCAGCCAAUCAGUCGGAGGUUCGAGCGGUGGUCGGUGUCGGCGUCGGUCGCCGAUGGUCUGCGGUGGUUAUCUUUUUCUUUUCCUCUUUACAUUAUUAUAUAUAUUCUGAUUUUGUAAUUGUAACUUAAUUUGAUUAAGUUGUAAAUUGUUUGAGUAUUGUGAUUAUAAAUAACCUAUAAAAUAAGUAAAGAAAAUCAGAUUUAUAACUAAAGUUUCUUACGAGAAUUUUAUUAUUCAAAUCUAUCUUUUGUAAGACUUGUACAUAAGGGUGAGUGGUUUUGUAAAUAAAGUAUGGUAAAGGUUAAAGAAAUCAGAUUCUUUAUUACUACUAAUUCUUAGGAUGAUUUUAUUUUCCAAUUCUGAUUUAAUUAUACCCAUUUAUAUUGGUUUAAGUUUAUUAUUAUGAAUACGUAUAUUAUAGGAAAAAUUGACAAUAGAGGUCUGAACUUUGGGUGAUAAUUUUUAAAAGGUCUGAACCAAGGCCCACUAAAAGUUAAGACACUCUUAAGUUGGGACCUAUACAGGUUAAUCAAUAGUUCAGACCUUUUAAAAAUUAUCACCCAAAGUUCAGACCUCUAUUGUCAAUUUUUCCUAUAUUAUAAGCUAACUAAAAUCAAAUUUAUAAACAUAUUAUUUAUUAGUUUCCAAAAAUGUUAGUGUCAAUAAGGUUAUUAAAAAAAAAGGGAAGUAGAAGCUUCAUGUCCCUCCGAAAAUUACAAUGUUCCUUUAGAAAGCCUGUCAUGAUGGUCUUCCUCAGCAAUGUGUUAUUUGUUGUAAUUCUCAAGAGACUAUGACUCACCUUUGUUUUAAGUGUCCAUUUACUUUACAGGUGUUCUCCUGCCUUCACGAUAGUGCUUCUUGGCCUUCCCGCCCCGGUAAUAUUAAUUUCUCUAGUUACUUUCCUUUCCGGUACUGGAUUGAGGUGUGGCUACAAGGUGGUUUCAGGAUUGUCAGUUCCGUCACUGCCUUCGUGAAGCUAACAAGGCUGCUGACUUCAUAGCUAGGAAGGCGCAUGACCACUCCUCCUUACUGUACUGGUUCCCCCCGUACUGUUUGGAUUUUUCCCUCAUCAUCCGAAAGGAUGUUUUAGGCUGGCCCCCCGAUUAGGGAGUUAGCCUAAGUUUGUUCUACUUAUCAAAAAAAAAAAAAAACAAGAUUGGUUAUUGUUUUUAUAUUGUCGAAACACUAAGUCUUAUAUAGUUAGUCACGUUGUUUUAUUUUAAUAAUAUCAAGGACAUAGCACUGAAAUAUUUCAUUAUUCGAUUAGGUCCCAAUUUCAUAACCGGAGCUUUUAAAUAGUCAGUGAGAUUUUUCGCUACAAGAUACGUAUGCGUACUAGUUCAGUUACAUAUGUUAGUAUAAUACUAGGUUAUGAAUUCUUUCAUUGGAACCUAGAAUUAUGAUAAGUAAUAAUUGUAUGAUUAUGAUUGAUGAAAUUGUUUGGUAGCAUGAAAUGGAUUGGAAAUCUGUAUGUCUUUCCUGA